rnacentral:rRNA from 1 species
UCGUAAAAACCCAAAGGCGAAAUGAAAGUGAAGGGAGCGAAGCUCUCUGAGGGAGGACGGGUCGGUCCCGACCGGCCCCGCACUCCCGGGGCGUCUCGCGCUCACAGCGAGCGGAGGCGCACCUAGAGCGUACACGCUGGGACCCGAAAGAUGGUGAACUAUGCCUGGCCAGGAUGAAGCCAGGGGAAACCCUGGUGGAGGUCCGUAGCGAUUCUGACGUGCAAAUCGAUCGCGAGAGCUGAGUAUAGCGGCGAAAGACCAAUCGAACCAUCUAGUAGCUGGUUCCCUCCGAAGUUUCCCUCAGGAUAGCUGGCGCCCACGGGAUACGAGUCUCAACUGGUAAAGCGAAUGAUUAGAGGCCUUGGGGUCGAAACGACCUCAACCUAUUCUCAAACUUUAAAUGGAUGAGAGCCCCGGCUUGCUCGAAGCGGUGAAGCCGGGGGAGAAGGAUCCGGGUGCCAAGUGGGCCAUUUUUG